rnacentral:misc_RNA from 1 species
GAUGUAUAAAUACUCCAAUUUUCCCCUUUCAAUGAUGUUUUAGUUGCGUAAUGUGCACAGGGAAAAAAAAAUACUAAGGUCAAGAUAUUUCUCUUCCUCUGAGUGUGUGUGUGUGUGUGUCUGGGGAGAGUGAUAUACUGAUAUAUCAGUGUUGAAAUGAGCUCGGGCAGAAAAAGUUAACAAGUUACAGAAUUACUUAGGGUGUAAUCAGAAGCAAUAUGCCACUUCAAUGACCGUAAGAAGUGACAGGUGAUUGUGGGUAAGGAAUUGAGUUCAGCAACGGACGUUCGAGUCACUUGAAAC